rnacentral:rRNA from 13 species
CAUGGCCGUUCCAUCACGGUGCUGUCAUUUGUACAGUCACUUCCAUCAUCAAACGAUGCCAACGCCAAACCAUACAACUAUACAACUAUACAACUCCAAAAAGUUUUAGGUCGGGGCUGGGUAUCAAAGCACCAUUGGCGCAUAGUCGAUGGAAGUUCGAGGUAAAUACGUGUCCAUGAUACCCAUACACGUUGUAGACUGUGAGCACGCCACACUGAUGAAUUCAACAAAAUGUUGAUGUGGGCUUAAAGGUCCGGAUUCUUUGAAAUCUAAUCGCCACGGGGAAAGAUAAUUGCAAUUCUCGACGAUGCCUACAAAAUGCCAGUCCAAAGCUCGCGUUGUUGACGUCGCUACCCAUUGCAAAGACUGUGCGUCGCUCCUACCGAUCGAACAGUCCGAUAGUAUUCGGACCGUUGCCAGGAGGAUGUUAGAUUCGCUCUGGGAAGUCAAGAAAACCUUUUCAUUUACAGGAAUGACAAGUGGA